CGGGUCUGUGGUUGAAAGUCGAGGCCAGUCGCAGGCAAAACGAUCCACGUAAGGAAAUGAGAUUUCUGAGCAUGGUGCGGCUUAGGGGUAAGACCUGCCGGGAAAACCGAGAGGGCGAGUAGUGAAGGAAACCGAGCGAAACCUCCAGCAGGCGAGUGUGGGGGCAAAGACCAGGUCAGCCGUU
rnacentral:ncRNA from 1 species